rnacentral:lncRNA from 1 species
GUACUGUCAGACAUAGAGGACUGGAUAAUACAUUUGUGUCUUUCUACAUAGUGGUAUAGAAAUAUCAGGUCCCCAAAUUCCCAUUUUUCUUCCAAUCACAUUUAAAAUUUCAAUAUGUUGCAGGCAGCAUGUGUAAGAUUAUAUCCAAAUAUUUACUCCUGGUUGCUCCUCUUGGGCAAGCUUGUGAAUAUGAUCAAAAUAUUUAAAGAAGGAAGAAGGUAAAGAUCUAAAAUAUGACAUGAAAAUACCCAGAGAAGUGUGCCUAAAUUAGCAUUAGGGUUUGAGGGAUCCUAAGGAUGACAAAAAGGGACUCUUCUAUUGAAUUCGUGGUUGAUGCUCAGCGAUAGUAACAAUCCUGCCUCCCCUAACAUCUUCCUCCCCUUCCAGCAGCUUCACAGAACAUGGUUGAUGAGGUAACUUAGGGGAUGCACAGGGUGUGGCCAGAAGACCCCUUUCCCUAUAGACCACUAUGAGCCCUGAAAGAUUUAUGAGGUAAUGUUCACUUCAUCCUGUGCUUCUUUUCCUAGAUGUGAACUAUGAAGACUUUACUUUCACCAUACCAGCCUGCAGGAAGCAUCAUCAUUCUUCCAGAGGGACAGACCAGCAAGACAUCCCCAGGAGCAACCACUCUGGUAAUCUAGAAUUCAGUGGCAGAAAAUAAAUAAGAAGAUAACUUCCUUCAGAAAGCCAUGACAUUGAAAUAAUGUGGUCAUAACUCUUUCUUCAGUAUACCAAUAAAAUAUUAAUAGCAUGCAA